CCUCCCUGCUGGUUGACGAUCCAUGUCAACGCCAAAACGCCAAGGCUGGAAGCUGCAAGAAAACAGACGCCUAACGUUCGGUUUGCAACGAUACUGAAUUUGCAAAUGUGGAUCAGAUACGCCAGCGCGAUUCCGAUCAUGAACUGAUCGAUGCGCCCUACGAUGGUGUAGUAGUUCGCCCGAUACUGCUCUGCGGGUGCGAGCGGCAAAAGCGCGAUGAUCUUGAGUAGCCAAAAU
rnacentral:misc_RNA from 1 species